CCCUUAGAUGUUCUGGGCCGCACGCGCGCUACAAUGAUGCAUUCAACGAGUCUAAAACCUGCUCUGAUAGGGGUGGGUAAUCUUUUGAAUGUGCAUCGUGAUUGGGAUAGAUGAUUGCAAUUUUUCAUCUUCAACGAGGAAUGCCUAGUAAACGCAAGUCAUCAGCUUGCAUUGAUUACGUCCCUGCCCUUUGUACACACCGCCCGUCGCUCCUACCGAUUGAAUGAUCCGAUGAAUAUCAUGGAUUGAGGAUGCAAGCAGGUUCGCCUGUCUUCAUCUUCGAGAAGUGAAGUAAAUCUUAUCAUUUAGAGGAAGGAGAAGUCGUAACA
rnacentral:rRNA from 1 species